UAAAUACACUAAAUACUGACUUCUAGAUACCCAUAUGUAACAGAUUAAUACUCACGACGGACCUGUAAGAGACGAUUUAUCGGUUUUGUUUAGUUUAAGUAAAAAAAAGUGUGUGAAAUCAUUCUUGUCGGUGACGAACUAUCGUUUUCGAUAAAGAAUGAAUAAUUUGGUAGUCGGAAAUAAAUCUUUGUUCGAAUAAGUUGUCGCUUUUAAUUUUUAGUUUACAGUUCAGGUGCGGGAUAUUCUACGUGCUAUAAUAUAUCGCUUUGGCCGUUUAUGUUAUUGUUGUUUCUUGCGGUGCAGUUUGAACGUAAUAUUUCUAUGCAGAUAAUUUUUUUGUCUGGGUGACUAAUUAAAGUGUUUCGUUAAAAAAAUAAUACGGGAGAGUGUACAAUAAUUUAAGUGAUACGAAAGUGUUCUUUGUUUAGUUUAAAUAUAAGGUUUAAACUAUAAUAGAGAUAUACGGUCUGGAUUCUUCAGCUGGUGUUUAUUUUGGACAAUCACGACGCAGGAAGUUUUUUUAAUUUAAAUAUACGGUUUAAAUUAAUCAGUUUCUGAUGUAAAUACAAGGUUUAACCUGUAAAUUUGGAAACUAUUUAUAAAAGUGAUGCGUUUCUUUUGUUUAGUUUGAAUAUAACUAAGGUUUGAACUAGAUAUUUAUUUCUUUGUUAAUUUAAAAAUACGCUUUGAAUUAUUAAGUUAUAGUUUAAAUAAAAGGUUUAAGGCUAUGACUUUAGUGAGUUAUACCUACAUUAUAUUGCAUAGGUAUUUUGUUGUCUAGAUACACGGUCUGGACUUUUGAUGCUUAUUUUGGAAAAUGGCGACGCAGUAAACGUCACUGAUUCUUCUCGAGGACGCGAAGAUGUCAGGUUUGGCCGACUGUAACAGAUUAAUACUCACGACGGACCUGUAAGAGACGAUUUAUCGGUUUUGUUUAGUUUAAGUAAAAAAAAGUGUGUGAAAUCAUUCUUGUCGGUGACGAACUAUCGUUUUCGAUAAAGAAUGAAUAAUUUGGUAGUCUGAAAUAAAUCUUUGUUCGAAUAA